GACGAACGCUGGCGGCGUGCUUAACACAUGCAAGUCGAACGGAAAGGCCCUGCUUUUGUGGGGUGCUCGAGUGGCGAACGGGUGAGUAACACGUGAGUAACCUGCCCUUGACUUUGGGAUAACUUCAGGAAACUGGGGCUAAUACCGGAUAGGAGCUCCUGCUGCAUGGUGGGGGUUGGAAGGUUUCGGCGGUUGGGGAUGGACUCGCGGCUUAUCAGCUUGUUGGAGGGGUAGUGGCUUACCAAGGCUUUGACGGGUAGCCGGCCUGAGAGGGUGACCGGCCACAUUGGGACUGAGAUACGGCCCAGACUCCUACGGGAGGCAGCAGUGGGGAAUAUUGCACAAUGGGCGGAAGCCUGAUGCAGCAACGCCGCGUGCGGGAUGACGGCCUUCGGGUUGUAAACCGCUUUCGCCUGUGACGAAGCGUGAGUGACGGUAAUGGGUAAAGAAGCACCGGCUAACUACGUG
rnacentral:rRNA from 1 species